rnacentral:rRNA from 1 species
AUUGAACGCUGGCGGCAUGCUUUACACAUGCAAGUCGAACGAGUGGCGCACGGGUGAGUAAUACAUCGGAACGUGUCCUAUCGUGGGGGAUAACUGAACGAAAGAUUAGCUAAUACCGCAUACGAUUGGAUCGGCCUAUGCCCGAUUAGCUAGUUGGUGGGGUAAAGGCCAACCAAGGCGACGAUCGGUAGCUGGUCUGAGAGGACGACCAGCCACACUGGGACUGAGACACGGCCCAGACUCCUACGGGAGGCAGCAGUGGGGAAUUUUGGACAAUGGGGGCAACCCUGAUGCAGCCAUGCCGCGUGUGGGAUGAAGGUCUUCGGAUUGUAAACUGCUUUUAUCGGGGAGGCGGUACCUGCAGAAUAAGCACCGGCUAACUACGUGCCAGCAGCCGCGGUAAUUC